rnacentral:tRNA from 1 species
GGGGUUGUGGCUCAGUGGUAGAGUGCGUGCCUACUACAUACGAGGCCCUAGGUUAGAUCCUCAACACCA